GAUGAAGAACGUAGCGAAAUGCGAUAAGUAGUGUGAAUUGCAGAAUUCAGUGAAUCAUCGAAUCUUUGAACGCACAUUGCGCCCCUUGGUAUUCCGAGGGGCAUGCCUGUUCGAGCGUCAUUUCAACCCCUCAAGCUCAGCUUGGUGUUGGGCUGCGCCAGCGUGCUGGCGGGCCUUAAAAUCAGUGGCGGUGCCGCGUGGGCUCCAAGCGUAGUAGCAUCUCUCGCUCUGGGGACCCGGCGGUUGCCUGCCAGACAAUCACUAAAAAAACAAAAGGUUUGACCUCGGAUCAGGUAGGGAUACCCGCUGAACUUAAGCAUAUCAAUAAGCGGAGGA
rnacentral:misc_RNA from 1 species